rnacentral:rRNA from 1 species
UCUGCACAAAAUAGUUAUAUCUCAGAAAAUUUAAAUAGAAAAAAAGUAAAGUAAAGAAAAAGAAAUAUUAUUGCUACGAUAGAAAAGAGUACUGUAAAGGAAUUUUGAAAAAGAAGAAAUUAAACAGAAGAAAAGAACUAUUAAAUUAAGGUACCUUUUGUAUCAGGAACUAUUAAAAUUUCCUUAAAGUAGGUUUUCUCGAAAAUAAAAGACCUAAUUUUUUUUAUAAGCUAUUGUAUUAAAAAUAUUUGAAAAAAAAAAUUUGGGUUUAAAUGAAAUUCGAUUUUAUAGAUAUCUAGUUACUUACGAAAUAAAUUUAGUUUAGAAAAUUAAGGGAGAUUCUAAUAUAGAUAAUCUUUUAUAUUUUUUUAAUUUUUAGGGGAUGAGCUCUAAAAAUAAAAAAUAAUUAAAUUACUAGAAAAGUUAUUUUUAGGCUUAUAAAUGGCCAUAUAAUUGUGUUAUAAUAAAUAACUUUUAAAAAACGAUUUUAUUUAAUUUUUAACUUUAGUAAGUUAAUGUUUUAACUAUUCAAACAUAGUAAAUAUGAUAGUAUUAGUAGAUAAAUAAUGAUUAAGAAUUUUAUAUAAAGUAUUCUAAAUUUUUUGUUUCAGAAAUACUUAUAAAAGAACUCGGCAAAAAUAAUUUCCGAAUGUUUAACAAAAACAUUUCUUUCUAUUUUAGAAAGUAAGGCCUGCUCACUGAUAUUUAAAGAGCCGCAGUAUUCUAACUGUGCUAAGGUAGCAUAAUCAUUAGUCUUUUAAUUGGAGACUGGUAUGAAUGGUUUAACGAGAAAUUAGCUUUUUUUGUAGGUAAUAUUUAAAUUAAUUUUUUAGUUAAAAAGCUAAAAUCUUUUAAAAAGACGAGAAGACCCUAUAGAGUUUUAUACAACUAUAUUUUAAUUUAAUUAGCGCAUUUUCAAAAACUAAAAUUAAAUUUGUAUUUUGUUGGGGCGACGUUAAGAUAAAAAAAACUCUUAAUAUAAAGUACUAUUAUAAUAGUUUUGAUCCUUUAAAAAAGAUUAUAAGAAAAUUACCUUAGGGAUAACAGCGUAAUCUUUUUUGAGAGUUCUAAUCGACAAAAAGGUUUGCGACCUCGAUGUUGGACUAAAAUUUUAUCAAGGCGCAGCUGCUUUGUGUUAAGGUCUGUUCGACCUUUAAAUUUUUACACGAUCUGAGUUCAAACCGGCGUGAGCCAGGUUGGUUUCUAUCUUUUAUAAUUAAUUAAUUAGUUUAGUACGAAAGGAUUAACUAAUUAUAAAUUUUAUUAAAUAUAAGAGGAUUAUUAAACAUUUUAAAAUAA